rnacentral:rRNA from 1 species
AUUGAACGCUGGCGGCAUGCCUUACACAUGCAAGUCGAACGGCAGCGCGGGAGCUUGCUCCUGGCGGCGAGUGGCGAACGGGUGAGUAAUACAUCGGAACGUACCCAGAAGUGGGGGAUAACGUAGCGAAAGUUACGCCAAUACCGCAUAUUCUGUGAGCGGGAAAGGGGGGGAUCGCAAGACCUCACGCUUUUGGAGCGGCCGAUGUCGGAUUAGCUAGUUGGUGAGGUAAAGGCUCACCAAGGCGACGAUCCGUAGCGGGUCUGAGAGGAUGAUCCGCCACACUGGGACUGAGACACGGCCCAGACUCCUACGGGAGGCAGCAGUGGGGAAUUUUGGACAAUGGGGGCAACCCUGAUCCAGCCAUGCCGCGUGAGUGAAGAAGGCCUUCGGGUUGUAAAGCUCUUUCGCGAGGGAAGAAAGCGCACUGGUUAAUACCUGGUGUGGAUGACGGUACCUUGAUAAGAAGCACCGGCUAACUACGUGCCAGCCGCCGCCGUAA